GAUGAACGCUGGCGGUAUGCUUAACGCAUGCAAGUCGAACGGACUCUUCGGAGUUAGUGGCGGACGGGUGAGUAACGCGUGAGAAUCUGGCUUUGGGUUCGGGACAACCACUGGAAACGGUGGCUAAUACCGGAUGUGCCGAGAGGUAAAAGAGAAAUUGCCUGAAGAUGAGCUCGCGUCUGAUUAGCUAGUUGGUGAGGUAAAGGCUCACCAAGGCAGCGAUCAGUAGCUGGUCUGAGAGGAUGACCAGCCACACUGGGACUGAGACACGGCCCAGACUCCUACGGGAGGCAGCAGUGGGGAAUUUUCCGCAAUGGGCGAAAGCCUGACGGAGCAAUACCGCGUGAGGGAAGAAGGCUCUUGGGUUGUAAACCUCUUUUCUUAGGGAAGAACAAAAUGACGGUACCUAAGGAAUCAGCAUCGGCUAACUCCGUG
rnacentral:rRNA from 1 species